GACGAACGCUGGCGGCGUGCUUAACACAUGCAAGUCGAACGGUAAGGCCCUUCGGGGUACACGAGCGGCGAACGGGUGAGUAACACGUGGGUGAUCUGCCCUGCACUUCGGGAUAAGCCUGGGAAACUGGGUCUAAUACCGGAUAGGACUCCUGCCUGCAUGGGUGGGGGUGGAAAGCUUUUGUGGUGUGGGAUGGGCCCGCGGCCUAUCAGCUUGUUGGUGGGGUGAUGGCCUACCAAGGCGACGACGGGUAGCCGGCCUGAGAGGGUGAUCGGCCACACUGGGACUGAGAUACGGCCCAGACUCCUACGGGAGGCAGCAGUGGGGAAUAUUGCACAAUGGGCGCAAGCCUGAUGCAGCGACGCCGCGUGAGGGAUGACGGCCUUCGGGUUGUAAACCUCUUUCAGCACAGACGAAGCGCAAGUGACGGUAUGUGCAGAAGAAGGACCGGCCAACUACGUGCCAGCCGCCGCCGUAA
rnacentral:rRNA from 1 species